rnacentral:tRNA from 1 species
AUUUAUUUGGCAGAUAAUUGCAUUAGACUUAGAAUCUAAUAAUUCUAAUUAUUUCUAUACUUAAUA